GCCAGACUCCUACGGGAGGCAGCAGUGGGGGAUAUUGCACAAUGGGGGGAACCCUGAUGCGGCGACGCCGCGUGGGUGAAGAAGCGCCUCGGCGCGUAAAGCCCUGUCAGCAGGGAAGAAAAUGACGGUACCUGAGUAAGAAGCCCCGGCUAACUACGUGCCAGCAGCCGCGGUAAUACGUAGGGGGCAAGCGUUAUCCGGAUUUACUGGGUGUAAAGGGAGCGUAGACGGCAGUGCAAGUCUGGAGUGAAAGCCCGGGGCCCAACCCCGGGACUGCCCUUGGAACUGCAUGGCUGGAGUGCGGGAGGGGCAGGCGGAAUUCCUGGUGUAGCGGUGAAAUGCGUAGAUAUCAGGAGGAACACCGGCGGCGAAGGCGGCCUGCUGGACCGCGACUGACGUUGAGGCUCGAAAGCGUGGGGAGCGAACAGGAUUAGAUACCCCGGUAGG
rnacentral:rRNA from 1 species